UGGCGGACGGGUGAGUAAUGUCUGGAAACUGCCUGAUGGAGGGGGAUAACUACUGGAAACGGUAGCUAAUACCGCAUAACGUCGCAAGACCAAAGAGGGGGACCUUAGGGCCUCUUGCCAUCGGAUGUGCCCAGAUGGGAUUAGCUAGUAGGUGGGGUAAAGGCUCACCUAGGCGACGAUCCCUAGCUGGUCUGAGAGGAUGACCAGCCACACUGGAACUGAGACACGGUCCAG
rnacentral:rRNA from 1 species